AAUUCGAUGGCUCGUUUGUUUAUCUCCGUCCYAUGCCCUCACGGGUGGUGGGUCGGACGCCAGGCAAGCCUCGUGUUCCCGGCACGCCUAGCCCAGUUGCAUGGCUGCCUCGGCGCAUGAGGCUCUUCGCCCGUGCUCUCGGAUUCGGAAUGUUAUGUGCUGCGGGUGGGUGGCUCAUCGGAGGCACUCCAUCCGGUCAAGCGAGGCAUUUUGUCCAACGAGACGAACGACUGCUGCACCCGUCUUUGGGCUCGCGGCCUCACGGCUCGGCRGGGCUCAUG
rnacentral:misc_RNA from 1 species